rnacentral:rRNA from 1 species
CCUACGGGCGGCAGCAGUGGGGAAUAUUGCACAAUGGGCGCAACCCUGACCCAGCGACGCCGCGUGAACGAAGAAGUAUUUCGGGUUGUAAACUUCUUUUCUCAGGGAAGAAACAGAUGACGGUACCUGAGGAAUCAGCCACGGCUAACGACGUGCCAGCAGCCGCGGUAAUACGUAGGUGGCAAGCGUUAUCCGGAUUUACUGGGUGUAAAGGGCGUGUAGGCGGUGCCGCAAGUCAGAUGUGAAAACCACGGGCUCAACGCGUGGACUGCAUUUGAAACUGUGGUUCUGGAGUACUGGAGAGGCAGACGGAAUUCCUAGUGUAGCGGUGAAAUGCGUAGAUAUUAGGAGGAACACCAGUGGCGAAGGCGGUCUGCUGGACAGUAACUGACGCUGAGGCGCGAAAGCGUGGGGAGCAAACAGGAUUAGAUACCCCUGUAGUC